GUAGGGAAUAUUGCGCAAUGGGGGAAACCCUGACGCAGCGACGCCGCGUGAGUGAUGAAGGCCUUCGGGUCGUAAAGCUCUGUUGCAGGGGAAUAAAAAAAUGAAGGUACCCUGUGAGGAAGGAUCGGCUAACUUCGUGCCAGCAGCCGCGGUAAGACGAGGGAUCCUAGCGUUGCUCGGAAUCAUUGGGCGUAUAGAGGGCGUAGGUGGCUUGGUAAGUCAGGUGUGAAAGCCGAGGGCUCAACCCUGGAAGUGCAUUUGAUACUGCUGAGCUUGAGUGUCGGAGAGGUUACCGGAAUACCUGGUGUAGUGGUGAAAGACGUAGAUAUCAGGUGGAACACCGGAGGCGAAGGCGGGUAACUGGACGAACACUGACACUGAGGCCCGAAAGCGUGGGGAUCAAACAGAAUUAGAUACCCUAGUAGUCC
rnacentral:rRNA from 1 species